rnacentral:rRNA from 1 species
UACGGAGGAUCCAAGCGUUAUCCGGAUUUAUUGGGUUUAAAGGGUGCGUAGGUGGCUUUUUAAGUUCAGGGGUGAAAGACGGUAGCUUAACCUUGGGGCUGCGUUUGAGACGGGCAUUCUUGAGUAUGGAAGAGGGUCGUGGAAUUCCCAGUGUAGAGGUGAAAUUCGUAGAUAUCGGAAGAACACCAGUGGCGAAGGCGACUUACUGGACACAUAUUGACGCUGAGGUGCGAAAACGUGGG